rnacentral:rRNA from 1 species
UGAGGAAUAUUGCGCAAUGGGCGAAAGCCUGACGCAGCAACGCCGCGUGGGCGAUGAAGGCCUUCGGGUUGUAAAGCCCUUUUCUGAGGGAAGAGUAAGGACGGUACCUCAGGAAUAAGCCUCGGCUAACUACGUGCCAGCAGCCGCGGUAAAACGUAGGAGGCGAGCGUUAUUCGGAUUUACUGGGCGUAAAGCGCGUGCAGGCGGCUUUGCAAGUCGGACGUGAAAUCUCUCGGCUUAACCGGGAGGGGUCGUUCGAAACUGCAGGGCUUGAGGUUGGGAGAGGGAAGUGGAAUUCCCGGUGUAGUGGUGGAAUGCGUAGAUAUCGGGAGGAACACCAGUGGCGAAAGCGGCUUCCUGGCCCACACCUGACGCUAAGACGCGAAAGCGUGGGGAGCGAACAGG